rnacentral:lncRNA from 1 species
GUGCAGGAGUAAAGUUUCUUUUGGUCUAAUAAGGUUAAUAUGAGAUUGAAGUUCGACUUUUGAAUGAAGUGUUCUUGUCCUUCUUUGGAUGAAAUAAGUAAUGAAAUGUUAAGAUGGACAGAGAUGGGGCACCUAUUUGAUUUUCUUCACAGUUCUGGCUUUGGCUUGGACAUGAAGUUGGUUAUAUUUGGACAUUUUCAUUGGUAGAAGGUAGAGUAUUAAAAGUUUUUGAAGGAUUAGUGGAGAAACUUGUAAGCCUAAUAUGUGUAUUUAAAGGAACCAAGAAAAGAGGCCUAAUAGGUUGCCAUCUUUUGAAGAAAGGAUUAUCAAAUUGGAUCAAGUGUUGAAGCAGUAGGAAAGGAGGAAAAGAGAAAGUGGAAAGGGGGAAAUAUUGAAGUAAGAAAGUAGAAGAAGAAAAUACCAAAAUUGAAGAUAGGAAAAAAACAUGAAAAGUGAGAAGGCUGUGAUGAUUAUUGAUUUAGCUUUUAGAAGAGUUCGUACCAAAAAGUUUGUAUUACCCAUCAUUACCUAGAGCCGGACUAGGGUAUGAUGGGAAAUAAAUACUUUUUGGUAGCAUUCGCUCCUAAAAACUAAGCCAAUAAUCAUCACCGCUUUUAUCAAAUUUCUUGUUUUUUUCUUGUAUUUUAAUUUGGUAUUUUCUUUUUCUACUUUCUUACUUUGACUAACGGUGAGAUUAGCCUAAUGGAUUAAAUUUUUAUUUAAGGGAUGGGGUGAGUGCUCAUAUCUCUUUGCCAUUGUUUUGAGAAAUGAUUAUCAACUUGAAUUAGUGUUGAAAUAGUGCACUAAGAGUCAGAUUAGCCAAUUGGAUCAAGGUUUUAUUUAUAAGCUCUAUGGUGAUUUUUCGUUGAUAUGAAUAUAGCGAAAAGUCAUUUGGCUAAUGAAAUGAUAUUGAAAAAAGACAACAUGGAGGGACUAUAGACGACACAAAAAGAAAAGUUAGAAUAUAAGGAGGCUGGCUGUUAAGAAGAAAUCUGACUCAACGAGGUUUGAAAAUCUAAUAUUUCCUCAUUAUUAGGUAAUCUUCUGAAACAGAUGGACCAAGAGUUGGUUGAAGAGUCCUAGUGAUCUAAAACAGUUAUGGUUUUGAGGGAUCCACAAGAUUUUUUUAUAAAUGCAAGAGAAACUCAUUUUCCUAAAGGGAGUAAUUGGACAGAUCUUGGAAGGGGUUUUGAGAGAAUUAUAAACAAAGAAGGAAGACAUUAGAAUAAAAGUUAUUUGGGUAGUUGGACCCAAAGAAGUAUAAAAUUGGAUGGAGAGUUGUGAACAAGGAAAAGCUUUGAUGUUUUUUGGAUUUGGCAACAACUUGCCACCAUGUUUAUACGACAAGAUAAUGUUAGAGAUUGCAAAAUGAAAAAGGGUAGAGAAGAAACAUGGAGUGCGGUGGAUGAUGGAGUAAUUCAUCAAAAAAACUUUCAAGUAAGUGAAACUCUAAAAUAAAUAGUUUUUGGGUUAAUUGGUGCAAGAGAAAGGUCCUAUUGGUCUAAUAAGGUAGACUAGUAUGAGAUUGAACUUCAAUUUUUGAAAGAAUAGUUAUUGGCUUUCUUUGGAUGAAAUAAGUUUUGAAAUGUUAAGAUGGACAGAGAUAAGGCAUCCGUUUGGUUUUCGCAGUUGUGGCUUUCGCUUGGACAUGAAGUUUGUUAUAUUUGGAGAUUCAUUGGCACAAGGUUUUGAGUAUUAAAAGUUUUAAAGGAUUAGUGGAGAAGCGUAUAAGCCUAAUAGGUGUAUUUAAAGGAACCUAGAAAAAGAGGUAUGAAGGUUUUUAAUUAAAAGAAGUACUUGAAUGAAAGUUCUUUGGGUAAUUGGCGCUAAUUCAAAGUUCAAUUCUGUUGGUUAUAAGUUAGAUAACGGGCAAUCUUAUGGAAUUGCUGAGUUUAUUAGGUAUUGAAGAAGGCAAAGAGAUAAGUUUGUAUAAGGCCAUGGUUAUCCGUAAGGAGAUGGGAAGAUAAGUGUGAAUAAAGGAGUUUCAUACUAAAGUAUCAAAUUUUGGACUUCCAAGUUUUUGAUAGAAUUCUUGCCAUUUUUGUGAAGAAAGAUUAGCAAAUUCACUAAAGUGCUAAUAUAAUGGACAAACUAAGAUACUUUAUUUCAGUAGCUGACAAUUUGACCGUGGAAAUUGAUCUAAGUCCAAACAUUAACAGUAUAGUAUAUAAUUAAAAAUGAAAUGGUCAAAUGUGAGAUUCGUUGGUAUAUGGUUUCUAGGGUUCUACAAGAUUGUCUGACAAAAUGCAAGAGAAACUCAUUUUCUGAAAAGGAGUAAUUGGACCGAUCAUGAAAAGAGUUUUCAGAUCAUUCUAAACAAAGAAAGGAGACAUUAGAAUAAAAG